rnacentral:misc_RNA from 1 species
UCCGGUUUGUCACCGGCAGUCUCCCUAGAGUGCCCUUGCGUAGCAACUAGGGACAAGGGUUGCGCUCGUUGCGGGACUUAACCCAACAUCUCACGACACGAGCUGACGACAGCCAUGCAGCACCUGUAUCAAAGUCUCCCAAAGGGAGUACUCCUCCGUUUCUGGAGGAUUCUAAGAUAUGUCAAACCCAGGUAAGGUUCUUCGCGUUGCCUCGAAUUAAACCACACGCUCCGCUGCUUGUGCGGGCCCCCGCCUAUUCCUUUGAGUUUUAACCUUGCGGCCGUAGUCCCCAGGCGGUGAACUUAAUGCGUUAGCUGCGGCACUGAUCGGGUCAAUCCGACCAACACCUAGUUCACAACGUUUAGGGCGUGGACUAC